rnacentral:rRNA from 1 species
UGAGGAAUAUUCCGCAAUGGGCGAAAGCCUGACGGAGCGACGCCGUGUGGGUGAUGAAGUCUUUCGGGAUGUAAAGCCCUGUCAGAGGGGAAGAUAUUGACGGUACCCUCAAAGGAAGCCCCGGCUAACUACGUGCCAGCAGCCGCGGUAAUACGUAGGGGGCGAGCGUUGUUCGGAAUCACUGGGCGUAAAGAGCGCGUAGGCGGUGACCUAAGUCGAAUGUAAAAGGUAUGAGCUCAACUCAUACAUCGCAUUCGAAACUGGGUUGCUAGAGAGAGUCAGAGGGAAGUGGAACUUCCGGUGUAGCGGUGAAAUGCGUAGAUAUCGGAAGGAACACCAGUGGCGAAGGCGACUUCCUGGGGCUCUUCUGACGCUGAGGCGCGAAAGCUAGGGGAGCAAACGGG